rnacentral:lncRNA from 1 species
UUUUGUAUAUAAAACAGCUUUAUUAAAAGUCAGCCCUUACAAGGAUUCUAUCAAAAUAUACACAUUUAACUGGACAUGGUGGCACAUGCCUUUAAUCCCAGCACUCAGGAGGAAGAGGCAAGUGGAAAUCUGGGUUCGAGGCCACCCUGGUCUACAAAUCGAGUUCCAGGAGAGCCAGAGCUACACAGAAACCCUGUCUUGAAAAACUAAAACUAAAACAAAAAACGUAUGUGUGAGUGUAUAUAUAUACACACACAUAUAUAUAUACAUAUUUAUACACAUUUUAAAUAAAUGUGUUAGACGAUUGACAGCUACACCAAUACACUGACCACAGACACAAUCUCAAAGGCUUUGUAGGGAAGGGAGGCUUAUUGAAGAUGCUCCAAGAACCCUAGGAAGAGGUCAGGCACAGGGGUCUUUGGGUGCUUGAGGGGUUGUGAGGUAAGGGCCCUACUUCAGUUUCUCCUUCCUUGGAAAAACGGAAAUGUGUAGGAAAGUAUAGUAAAUUUAGUCUGGAGUAGAAAGGCUCAAAAUUUAUUUCUAAGGCACCACAGCUCACUCUAGUCCUGAGGUUAAGUUACGAUGGACCAGGUGGGCUGCACAGGCCUAGCAGCCAGGAACCUGAAGUCAGUCUUUAUAUCAAACAUAUGGUUUUAAUAACACAUUGGUGUCUGGCCCUGCCAGAUAAGGAUGCCACUGGCUCCUAAGAGAGUCCACCAGUGAUAGCAGCUGGCCUCAGUGGCUGAGGAUAGAUCUAGACAGGAGGCCAGCCUGAGGGCAGUCCCAGCCACUGAGAUACGAUGAUACCUAGAGAAACUAGCAAGCCCCAGAACCAGGGGUUUCUGUGAAAGGCACUUCAAAGCUGGUGUCACUAAACCAAACUCCAGAAGCUGCUGGCCAACUAUCACUGGUGACAAGCUUCCCUGGUGACAUUGGGCAGUGGGUAAGCAAAGAGGGAGAAGUCCAGAAUAUAUUUAGGCAGCACAUCUUGAAGCAGGGCUCGUGGGGCAUUGCACAGGUGGUAAUGUAGACUUUCCGGGCUGGCCGGCCGAUACCAGGCCUGCCGAGCUGGGAACCGGACAUGGGGUGGGGCCCGCACCCACUCCAGCACCUGAUUGGCAUCAGCCUCCAGUCUCUCAUAAGAACCCACAAAGUCGUAGUGCACAGCACAUGGUUGACACAAGUGGUACACAGGCAUCCAGUGCUCAUUCAUGUGCUCAGGAUCCUCAUCCACCAGGUAUCUCAGGAACUCUGGGAAGGUGACAUCGUCCCCUGCAGGACUGGGGCCAGCUCCAGCCCUGUAGCGCCUGACAAUUUCAGCCCCAUAGCGCUGCUGGUACUCUCGGAUUUCCCCAAACUUGUUGCGGUAAGCAGACAGGAGGCGUUCCAAGGGGUCUCGCACAAACAGGAACUUGAAGUAAUGCUGCAGACGGUAGCGAAUCUCCUCAGGCCGCAGGUCUGCCAGAAACACCAGGUCACUGCGGUGGUCCAUCUUGAGGCGGACAUCCACGUUGUCCAGGACGCCCGCCAGCACCUUCAGCACGCGCUUCCAGUUAGAGCAGGCCACUUUGGGGACGUAGCAGUAGAGGAAGCGGUAGCGGUCACUUACGAGGAUGUGGCGCAGCAGGGUGCGCCGCUGUCCCACCGGCAAGUCCCAGGGGUCCCGGGGCAUGCCCGGUUGUCCGCACACUGCCCUCAAGGUCCGGUUUCGGACAUCCUCCCGCACUUGCAAGUCGGAGUCCCCAGCAUCCAAGGAUAGGCCUCCAGGCUUGGGAGCUGUCCCACGCCAGGCCGCGCCUUUGUGGCUGGGAGGGUGCAGGGGAAGGGGUUUUAUCUCCGAUAGGAUGCCCCGCUCGAUCAUGAGCAGUAGCCCGCUGGAGGCCACGAUCACUGCAAACAUCAGCAUGGACGGCAGCAGCAGGGGUGGCCCUCCGAGUCCAGCCCGGGCCCUACUCAAUGGAGACCGCCUCGGCGUGCGGCCCAGGGGCUCGGCUCCUUUCGGGGACGCCAGUGGGGUCAGAGGGCGAGGGAACAUGGUGAUCCGGGGAGACCUCGCCGAUCUCUGGGAAGGCGACUGCAGCCAGGACUGGAGAUCUCGGGAGGAGGGUUAGUGGGUGGCCAGCUCCCGGGUGCAACGAGGGACCAGGGCCGGAUGUCCCGCCCGGCCGCUCUCCACCCCGCCCCCCGCCCCGCCGUGAUACAGGCUGGGGGCGGGCCCACGUUGGGGGGGGGGCGAGGAGAGGGGAGGGUGCCUGAGUCCUAGGAGCUGUCUGGG